AGUCAGGGGUGAAAUCCCGCAGCUCAACUGCGGAACUGCCAUUGAUACUGUCGGUCUAGAGUAUGGAAGAGGUGAGUGGAAUUCCGAGUGUAGAGGUGAAAUUCGUAGAUAUUCGGAGGAACACCAGUGGCGAAGGCGGCUCACUGGUCCAUUACUGACGCUGAGGUGCGAAAGCGUGGGGAGCAAACAG
rnacentral:rRNA from 1 species